GUAGUUUGAUCAUGGCUACAGAACAACGCUGGCGGCAGGCCUAACACAUGCAAGUCGAACGCACCGCAAGGUGAGUGGCGCACGGGUGAGUAACACGUGGGAAUGUACCCUUUGGUUCGGAAUAACGUUUGGAAACGAACGCUAAUACCGGAUGAGCCCUGCGGGGGAAAGAUUUAUCGCCAAAGGAGCAGCCCGCGUCUGAUUAGCUAGUUGGUGGGGUAAAGGCCUACCAAGGCGACGAUCAGUAGCUGGUCUGAGAGGAUGAUCAGCCACACUGGGACUGAGACACGGCCCAGACUCCUACGGGAGGCAGCAGUGGGGAAUAUUGGACAAUGGGCGCAAGCCUGAUCCAGCCAUGCCGCGUGAGUGAUGAAGGCCUUCGGGUUGUAAAGCUCUUUCGCACGCGACGAUGAUGACGGUAGCGUGAGAAGAAGCCCCGGCUAACUUCGUG
rnacentral:rRNA from 1 species